rnacentral:rRNA from 1 species
UACAGAGGGGGCAAGCGUUAUUCGGAAUUACUGGGCGUAAAGGGCGCGUAGGCGGCCUGUUAAGUCGAACGUGAAAUCCCCGGGCUCAACCCGGGAACUGCGUCCGAUACUGGCAGGCUUGAAUUCGGGAGAGGGAUGUGGAAUUCCAGGUGUAGCGGUGAAAUGCGUAGAGAUGUGGAGGAACACCGAUGGCGAAGGCAGCCCCCUGGGUCAAGACUAACGCUCAUGCACGAAAGCGUGGGGAGCAAACAGG